AUUGAACGCUGGCGGCAGGCUUAACACAUGCAAGUCGAGCGGAGAGAGGUAGCUUGCUACUGAUCUUAGCGGCGGCCGGGUGAGUAAUGCUUAGGAAUCUGCCUAUUAGUGGGGGACAACAUUUCGAAAGGAAUGCUAAUACCGCAUACGUCCUACGGGAGAAAGCAGGGGAUCUUCGGACCUUGCGCUAAUAGAUGAGCCUACGUCGGAUUAGCUAGUUGGUGGGGUAAAGGCCUACCAAGGCGACGAUCUGUAGCGGGUCUGAGAGGAUGAUCCGCCACACUGGGACUGAGACACGGCCCAGACUCCUACGGGAGGCAGCAGUGGGGAAUAUUGGACAAUGGGCGCAAGCCUGAUCCAGCCAUGCCGCGUGUGUGAAGAAGGCCUUAUGGUUGUAAAGCACUUUAAGCGAGGAGGAGGCUACUUUAGAUAAUACCUAGAGAUAGUGGACGUUACUCGCAGAAUAAGCACCGGCUAACUCUGUGCCAGCAGCCGCCGUAACAC
rnacentral:rRNA from 1 species